UACGGAGGAUGCAAGCGUUAUCCGGAAUGAUUGGGCGUAAAGCGUCCGCAGGUGGCUGUGUAAGUCUGCUGUUAAAGAGUGAGGCUCAACCCCAUAAAGGCAGUGGAAACUACAUGGCUAGAGUGCGUUCGGGGCAGAGGGAAUUCCUGGUGUAGCGGUGAAAUGCGCAGAUAUCAGGAGGAACACCGGUGGCGAAGGCGCCACUCUGGGCCGAAACUGACGCUGAGGAGCGAAAGCGUGGGUAGCAAACAGG
rnacentral:rRNA from 1 species